CAUGGAGCUCUUGGGAUUCCCCCCUGGCCGGCCUGGCUUCCAGCGCCCCCCGCCCGGCCGCCUCUCGGAGCCGCCGCCCGCCGCGCGCGUCCCUCGCCUCGGCGUCUGCCGCUCCCCCCCCCCCCCCCCCCCGCGGCCCGGGCGCCUCUUCCCUCCCCCGCGCCCUCCCUGGGCCUCUCCCGCCCCCGCCCCCCCUCCGUCUUCUCCGACGCGGGUGUGUGGAGCUGCAGAGCGGAGCUCGCCGCCCCCUGCCCCGGGACAUUUCUCUAGAGGCCGCGGCCCGGGGUCGCACAGCGGCGGGAUGUGAGUGUGGAGGGGACGGGGCCCGGGGAGCUUUGACAUCGGGGCCCGGGAACGUGGCCCGAGCCGCUCCCGCCGCUUCAUUUUCCUCUCCGGGAAGGCACAGACGUUAUUUUUUCUGAUCGUCCGGCCCCGGCCGGUGAAUAGGGGCCCUCAGCCGCGAAGCAGGCCCUCUUCACUGGAGGUACCCAGCGCGCCCCCGGCCGCAGCGCUGUCUGUCCGCCCGCGGGACUCCCGCUCAGGCUGGACCGGGAUCCCCGGAGAGGCUGCUCUGCCGCCAGCCCCAGAGCCUGGCUCCGCCACCGCCCUCCUGCCCGCCCCGCCCUCGCCUGGACCCCCAGCCUCAGGAAUCUCCCAAGUGGGUCUUCCUGGAUCUGCUUCUGAGCCCCCAGCAGAGUAAGACGUCUCCUAGGUCUUCCUGGAUCUGCUUCUGAGCCCCCAGCACAGCUCUGCCAGGAUCUUGUCUGCUGGGCUGUCAUUCCCAAGGGGCAUGGAGCCCAGGCUGGGACCUGGGAGAGAGAG